GCUGUCCUGCUGAGUUACUCCAGCUUUUCAUGUCUAUCUUUGGUUUAAACCAGCAUCUGCAGUUCCUUCCUAAACAUAUCUGCACUUCCUACUCAAAUUGGCAUCAAGAUCUUUGAGCCACUUCAAAAGCAGCUAGUGCCGCAUCCCCACCUGGGUGGCUUUACAACCCAAAUGUAUGAACAUUGAAUCCUCCAAUUUUACAAUUCUGCUCACCUUAAACCUAUGUCCUCUGGUUCUCGAGUCCCCUACUCCGGGCAAAUGACUCUGUGGGUUUACCAGAACUAUUCUCAUGAUUUUGUACAGCUUUUUAUUUUCUUUAUUUUCUACCGCUGCACCACAGAGAGCAUCCUAACGUAUGGCAUCUCUGUGCGGUAUCUCAGCUGCACGGAGGCGGAGAGGAGAGCUCUUCAACGCACUGUCCACAGAGCGCAGAGGAUUAUUGGGACACCGCUACCAGCCUUGGAGGGCAUCUACAAUACACGGUGCGUCAGGAAGGCCGUCAGCAUUCAUAAAGACUCCUCACGCCCUUGUAAUAGUCUGUUCGAACUUGUACCAUCCGGCAGACGUUACAAGGCCUUCUACGCCCACACCUCCAGACUUUGGAACAGCUUCAUCCCCAGAGCUAUCGCUGCUCUGAACCGGUCCUACUGAGCGCCCCCCACCUCCAUGAACUGUCUCCCUCAGAUGGUCACGUUGCACAUCGACCUGACACAGACCUACUGUAUUUGCACGUUAUACUGCUUUACCUGUUUUUUUUUUAUCUUGUUUCUCUGGGUGUUUACAUAUUUAGCUAAUUAAGUUAUUACAUCGGAUGGAAGUUGCAUUCCAAAUCUCGUUGUACCUCUGUGCAAUGACAAUAAAGAUAUAUCAUUAUUAUUAUUAUAUCAAGCCUUGUCCUGGCCCACGUGGGGCCCCAUGUACACUGCCAGAGGAAACUCUCCUGAACGCAUUUGACAAGUUCCACCCCGUCUAAACCUUUGGCACUGACAAUGACAUUCCCAGUCAAUAUUGGAAAAGUUUAAAUCCCUCUACUCCGACAACCUUAUUAGACAGACAGGAGCGAGUAGAGAUUUACAGGCGAAAGAGAGUGAUGCAUGCAUGUAGCGCCUUUCAGAGCGUCCCAAAGUAGUUAACAGCCGCUGAAGUAUUUGUAAGAAACAGCGAGGCACCUAAAGUGCCACACACACAUGCUAGACUUCGUAUCUGGCGCCCGGCCAAUUCGGCGAGCGUGUCAUCUUUCAUUCACGUCAGGUGAAAAUUCCUCUCACUCAGUUACUGCUGCCUCACGCUUGUUACAAAAAAACUCUCCCACAAAUAGUCCCAUUUAACUAGAGUGAAGAACUAUUAUCACCCCUAACCACACACACACAAAGCGAACUCGCACUCUCUCGAAGCGGAGGCGCUCUGUGAAUACAUAGCGUUUAAAGCAACUUUGACCGGUUUGUUCGUAAACUGGCAACACAGUGUGUUGUGUUGUGAAUUCUUGGCGCGGGACCUCCUUCGCCGAAAGGAGAAACAGGGAGGUGGGUGUUUGAUGACUUUCUACUAACACGGACAGACUCGUAAGUGCUUCAAGAGCUCGGCCCUUCUGCGGAGCCGUGCAGUUCUCCAGCCCAGCCCAGCCUGAGCGCCGGGUAACGCGAUUCCACCUGCGGAUUCGCCAGAGAAACACCCUCCACUCGGGGCUGGGCGAAUGGCUGGGAAGAGUUAAAUUGCACUCUGGAAGCCGGUGAGAUCAGCAAGUGGGCGUUUUCACAUCGCAGGCUCAUGAGGACAGCGCUGCUUAAACUUCGCUUCCCAAGAAUUCAACAGGUUACUCACACUCUUCGGAAGAGUAAAAUGGAUCUGUGUGUGACCGGCUUGUGCACAACCCGCUGGCAGUCCCAAAUCAGAAUCGAGGCUUUGAAAAUACUGUGAGGAGAUCAGCUGAAGAAGUUGUAUUUGCGAAGGAGUUUGGUCACCAUAAGAAUCUCCCCGGUUCAUGGAGUGAGUCGAUAUUGACCGGUAUUAGACUCGAGGUACAGAAGUGUGAAAACGCCCACCACCAGAUUCAGGGACAGUUUCCUCCCAACUGUUAUCAGGCAACUGAAUCAUCACCUACCACAACCCGAGAGCAGUGACUAUCUACCUCUUGACAGGACUUUGCUGGCUUUACCUUGCACUAAACGUUAGUCCCUUAUCAUGUUUCUAUAUACUGUAAUUUGAUUGACUGUAAUCAUGUGUUGUCUUUCUGCUGACUGGCAACAUGCAACAAUCUUUAAAAAAAAAAAUAUAUUUUAAUAAAUCUUUUAAUGACAAUAAAACACUCUUGACUCUUGAGAACUAUAUUUUGCAUCCUGUUUCUUUCUUUCCUCGAUCUAUUGGUCUUGAGUUUGGCUUGACCGUUUGGGUAUGCAUUAUCUGAUUUGAUUGGGCAGCACACAAAACAAAGCUUCCCACUGUACCUUGGCUCAUGUGACGAUCAUAAAACAAAAUCUAAACCUAAAUAGAAGUGGAGCAUUGGUGCCCUGAGUAAUCAAUUCAAUUCAAUUCAAUUCAACUUUAAUGUCAUCGCACAAAUACAAGUAUGAGUACAACGGAAUGCAGUUUUGCGUCAGUCCGUAGUAGUUGUGCAUAAAGAAAUUUAAAAAAAAUAGAAAGAGAGAAGAUACAGAAUAAUCAAA